GUAGAGGAGCAUUGUAUUAGGGAAGAAGCCCAAGCGAAAGCAGGCGUGGACUUAAUACAAGAGAGAAUGCUGGCAUGAGUAGCGAGAAGGAGUGUGAGAAUCACUCCCGUCGAAACCCUAAGGACUCCUGAGCAAGGCUCGUCCCCUCAGGGAAAGUCGGGACCUAAGCCAAGGCCGAAAGGCGUAGGCGAUGGAUAACAGGUUUAUAUUCCUGUACCGCUUGAAGUCGUUAAGAGAGAUGUGAUGAC
rnacentral:rRNA from 1 species